rnacentral:rRNA from 1 species
AUUGAACGCUGGCGGCAGGCCUAACACAUGCAAGUCGAACGAGUGGCGGACGGGUGAGUAAUGUCUGGGAAACUGCCUGAUGGAGGGGGAUAACUACUGGAAACGGUAGCUAAUACCGCAUACCAUCAGAUGUGCCCAGAUGGGAUUAGCUAGUUGGUGGGGUAACGGCUCACCAAGGCGACGAUCCCUAGCUGGUCUGAGAGGAUGACCAGCAACACUGGAACGGAGACACGUUCCAGACGCCAAGGGGAGGCAGCAGUGGGGAAUAUUGCACAAUGGGGGAAAGCCUGAUGCAGCCAUGCCGCGUGUAUGAAGAGGGCCUUGGGGUUGUAAAGUACUUUCGGCGGGGAGGCGUUACCCGCAGAAGAAGCACCGGCUAACUCCGUGCCGGCCGCCGCGGUAAUC